CAAUAUGAGUUAUGAGUUGUUUGACCAGAUGUUCAGUCUAUUUAUGGUAACCGAUGGAACCUUGGACGAAGCGCAUCGUGCUAUCCCAACAUCAAUUUGUAGUGCUUACCUGUGAAGUGAUCUUAAAUUCUUCAUACAAAAUGAGUUGACAUCAUUUUUGUAGUUCUCUCUUGCAACAUUCUCCCGACACUACAAGUAGUAGGUCAUGUCUGCUUAGAACCCAUCUAUGGAGACCACAAAGAAGCACUGAGUGACCUAGAAAAUAUCAUGCCUGUUGACCUAUCAAAGCAAGGCAAUAGGAAACCGAGGUCCUAAGAUAAGACUU
rnacentral:lncRNA from 1 species